CAAUCGAGUGGAAAAUGGGUUCCAAAACAGUUGUUCUCCUUGCCCUUUUGUUGGCCACUGUUCUUUUCAUUACCUCCGAGGUCAGCCGCCAGAGAUUUGGUCGAGACUUCUACUAAUUUCAAGGAAACUACUGAACAGACAAACAAUGGGGUAGAGGACGCAAAGUAUGGUGGAUACAAUGGCGGCGGAGGGGGGUACAAUGGUGGCGGAGGGGGGAACUAUGGAGGGGGAUGCCGUCGUAGAUGCUGUCGUUAUGGAAGGUGCGGGUGCUGCUUUGAGGAGGCCGUGGAAAAAGGAAACUAAUCGGAGCAAAUGCCUCACAGCCGCGCCGGAUCGAGGAAUGUUAAUUGCAAUAUUGUGUUGCUUUUGUAUCAGGAGCCUUGAAUAAAAAGCAUGAGGGGAGGUGAUCCCAUCAUGCCCUUUCUAAAAUUUAAGUUCUCCCGUGGAGGAACGAUAAGUGUGUUUAAUUAUGUGUAUUUGGUUUUCAGGUUGUGAUCAAUCACGUAAUAUGAAUAAGUGUGAUGUUUCAAGUUACAAAAAAUUGUGCGUUUCAUAGUAGUAGUAGUAGUGCUAAUUAAUGGUGGAAGUGCUUUUCUUGUUAAAAAAAAAGAAAAGGAAAAAACAUGAGACGAAAAUGCUACG